rnacentral:rRNA from 1 species
GACGUAGGGCGCGAGCGUUGUCCGGAUUUAUUGGGCGUAAAGAGCUCGUAGGCGGCUUGUCGCGUCGAAUGUGAAAACUCGGGGCUCAACUCCGAGCUUGCAUUCGAUACGGGCAGGCUAGAGUUCGGUAGGGGAGACUGGAAUUUACGGUGUAGCGGUGAAAUGCGUAGAUAUCGUAAGGAAGACCAGUGGCGAAGGCGGGUCUCUGGACAGUUCCUGACGCUGAGGCACGAAGGUCAGGGGAGCAAACGGG